rnacentral:rRNA from 1 species
UAGGGAAUCUUUGGCAAUGGACGAAAGUCUGACCGAGCAACGCUGCGUGAGUGAAGAAGGUUUUCGGAUCGUAAAACUCUGUUGUUAGAGAAGAACAAGGACGUUAGUAACUGAACGUCCCCUGACGGUAUCUAACCAGAAAGCCACGGCUAACUACGUGCCAGCAGCCGCGGUAAUACGUAGGUGGCAAGCGUUGUCCGGUUUUAUUGGGCGUAAAGCGAGCGCAGGCGGUUUCUUAAGUCUGAUGUGAAAGCCCCCGGCUCAACCGGGGAGGGUCAUUGGAAACUGGGAGACUUGAGUGCAGAAGAGGAGAGUGGAAUUCCAUGUGUAGCGGUGAGAUGCGUAGAUAUAUGGAGAAACGCCAGUGGCGAAGGCGGCUCUCUGGUCUGUAACUAACGCUGAGGCUCGAAAGCGUGGGGGGCAAACAGG